UUCCCAGAGUUCCUUGGUGUGCAAUAAAGU
rnacentral:piRNA from 1 species